rnacentral:rRNA from 1 species
GACGAACGCUGGCGGCGUGCUUAACACAUGCAAGUCGAACGGAAAGGCCCUGCUUUUGUGGGGUGCUCGAGUGGCGAACGGGUGAGUAACACGUGAGUAACCUGCCCUUGACUUUGGGAUAACUUCAGGAAACUGGGGCUAAUACCGGAUAGGAGCUCCUGCUGCACGGUGGGGGUUGGAAAGUUUCGGCGGUUGGGGAUGGACUAGCGGCUUAUCCGCUUGUUGGUGGGGUAGUGGCUUACCAAGCCUUUGACGGGUAGGCGGCCUGAGAGGGUGAACGGCCACAUUGGGACUGAGAGACGGCCCAGACGCCUACGGGAGGCAGCAGUGGGGAAUAUUGCACAGUGGGCGGAAGCGUGAUGCAGCAACGCCGCGUGCGGGAUGACGGCCUUCGGGUUGUAAACCGCUUUCGCCUGUGACGAAGCGUGAGUGACGGUAAUGGGUAAAGAAGCACCGGCUAACUACGUG